CGUCAGCAAUUCACUAUAUAAACAGAGAUGAUAACAGGUUAGUCUGAUGUUGAAGAUGGGAGGGGACAGAGAUGAUAACAGGUUGGUCUGUUGUUGAAGAUGGGAGGGGACAGAGAUGAUAACAGGUUAGUCUGUUGUUGAAGAUGGGAGGGACAGAGAUGAUAACAGGUUAGUCUGUUGUUGAAGAUGGGAGGGGACAGAGAUAAUACCAUCUGCAUUAUGAAUACAGUCCCUGAUAGUCACCAUAUACCAUACUCUGGUCUAAAGUAGUGCACUAUAUAGGGAAUAGGGCUCUGGUCACUAGUAGUGCACUAUAUAGGGAAUAGGGCUCUGGUCUAUAGUAGUGCACUAUAUAGGGAAUAGGGCUCUGGUCUAUAGUAGUGCACUAUAUAGGGAAUAGGGCUCUGGUCUAUAGUAGUGCACUAUAUAGGGAAUAGGGCUCUGGUCACUAGUAGUUCACUAUAUAGGGAAUAGGACUCUGGUCACUAGUAGUUCACUAUAUAGGGAAUAGGGCUCUGGUCACUAGUAGUUCAGUAUAUAGGGAAUAGGGCCCUGGUCACUAGUAGUUCAGUAUAUAGGGAAUAGGGUGGUAUUUGGGACCCUGAGCCUGUAGUUUGCAUCCAGAAGAAGUGAUGUCAGAGUGGUCUGUGUCCCAAAUGAGACUGAUCUGUCCCUGCUGUUCCCUACCUUGUAUUUACAUGUAUCUCUCUACUAAACCCUCCAACGUAGGCUUGUGUCCCAAAUUACACCCUAUUGCCUAUAUACUGCACUCCUGUAAUAGGGAUUAGGGUGCCGCUGAGACCCUCCGUCGCCAACUGUCUUGCACAGGAAAUAUCUAUCAGGAUUUCCUUGAUAGUGAAUGUCAGAAGAAUAACAUGUAAAAAAUAAAUACAAAAUAAACAUGAUUUUAUGUAAAUUGUUGUGACAAGUGAUGGCUCAAUAAAAGUCGUUUUCAGGAUGUUUUGUGACUGAA